GCCCUCGAAGUCCCUGAUUAACCCUCCCAGCAUUCCUUAAGGAUGCUCCGGGGAGAAUGCAGAGUGGACGCCGAUAGCACAGAGGGGGCUCCUGGAGGGACACGGUGGGCAGGCUCAGACCCCUGCCUUCCUGGAACAGCUCCAGGUCUACACCACGUGGGACUUGCGGCCACCCUCCACUGGCUUCCCCCCGUGUGCCGGAUGCCACCCUCAUCCUUGCUUCCGUUGGAAGCCCCCACAGGCUGGGACGCCGAGAAGCCCAUGGGGCACAGGUGACGCUGUCACGUCAUCCACAACAUCUCAUCGCUGUGGUUCCUUGCUGGCAGCUUUGGCUUUGUCUGUCAGCAUCCACGGCUGCAAAUGCCAGAUGCCCACAGUGAGUCUCCUAAGUUAUUUACCCUAAGACAACCUUUCACUGCAAUAAAUGGCGUGUUUAUUCAGCCUCCCUUUCUGCUUCUUAGAAUUAAGGCAAAACAAAGGGCUGUUUUCAUAAACACAAGCCAAGUCCUUUGCACAUGCAAGCAAACCACUGCUUACGGUGGCUUCACUGCUUGGUUCUUCCCCAGCCAGAUGGCCUGAGACCCUCCCAGCCCUCUCGGGGGUGCCCAAGGCCAAACAGGGGGAGGGAGUGGCCCACCGGGGUCCCAGGAACACAGCAGCAUGUGCCCAGUUGCAGGCGGUUUGGAGCUGGAAAGGACGCCGGAGCUCAGCUAAUCUAACCCCUGCCAUCAGGUGAAGGACGCAUCACAGAGCACAGGGAGGCCCAUUGUUGCAGCUAUUUUAAAACACCUUUGGGGGCAAACAUUUCGCAAUCUUCCUUGAAAAGAUGCAGAGACUCAAAACUAGCCAUUUUAAAGCCCAGGAGAGGAUCUGAAAAGAAGCCUGGGCCCUCCAACUGCCCACAUAUCUGCGAUCCUCACUGGAUGGGCACCUGCAGACCUCCAGGCCUGCAGCCGGACCCGUUCCGUCCUCAGCCCAAAUCUUACUCCAAGUCCGAGGCUUUUCCUUGACCCCAGAUUUGCCCCCUCUGUCAGCUACCACAGGGACCAGAUAGGUGAGUAAGCUCUCACCCCUGCCCUCCAGGGGUUCCUAGUCACGCAACAGUAGGAGUUCUGGUAAAGGCUGCAUAAAGGUGGAUGUUAAUGCCUCGGAGUUCACGUAAUACAAAUAUGUUAGGAGACACCCGGGAGUAGAAAGGCAAUGUUUUAAGUGCACAAGGCUUAAACCUAGAUCAGCCAUCGAGGUCUACUUCGGGAAUUCCCUACAGAAAACCGUCUCAAAGGAUUUUGCUCAUAACACUCUGGUCUUCAAAAACUUAGCAAUGCCUCCUUACUGCUUGGAAGCAGCCUCGGCCUGGCACGGAGCCUAUCAUCUUGGCCUCGGCACAGUGGUUUACGCGGUGCCGGCCUCCAGCACUAGUCAACUUGGCAAAAGCCGCAAAGCGCAGGGCUCCCACUCCCUGCUCGGCCUUCCUUCCUGGGCCCAAGGAGUGUGUUUCCCAGUGCGUUUUCCUUUUGCCCACCUAUGCUUUGAUCUAAUUAAGUAGUUCUUAAAUAUCAAUCGUACACCCUAAGCUUGGGGAAGGAGCUAUGAAAGUGAACAGCCUCUGGGACAGAGGACGGGGAUCCUUUAGCCUCCUGCCCACAGCUACAAAUGUAACUUCAUUGUUGACCUUACUGCCCGGCCCUCCGGCCCCGGGGGAGGAAACCUCUCUCCUGCCCCAGGCUGACCCAGCCCAAGCCUAGAAUCCCACCCCUUCCCAUUUCUUCUGAGUCUGGCUGUUGAUUAGCUUCUUUUCUCUCCUUGUCUAUUGGGUUCUUCUCUUGAGCACUUAGGUAUUUUUAGCUGUGGGAUUCUCUCUUUUUUUUAUACAGCUUCAAGAUGUCCUGACGCCCCUCUUUCCCUUCCAGAGCCAGCCUGUCUCUCCCCCCACUGAGCCAGGCGUUGGGGAGGUGUUCUCUCCCAGGGCCCCCCUGCCCCAUCCUCUCAUCUUCCAUCUGCACUUUGUUCCCCGGGAGGGGCUCCGAGGGGCCAGGGAGAGAGUCUCAAGAAGGGCGAGAUCAAAGUCCUGCUCGUGGGAAGUGGGAAUGAGGCAUGGCUGUGGCACCUGGGGUCACAGGUGCCCUUCGCGGGGAGUGGUGUUGGUGGACACAUACGA